UCUCCCGUUGAAAAAGUUGAAUUUUUUUAACUUUUUCAAGGCCAAAAGUGCUUUUGGCUAAUUAAUUACUUUUUUAUCCUUAUCAUUUUUCACGUUUCUUCUUUAUUUCUUCUUCUCUCCGGUUCUUUUUUUUAUUUUCCUUCCAUUUUCUUUAAGAUCUUCAAGGUGAGCUUCCUCCGAUGAGCCUCUACGGUAUAAAAAUUUCAUUUUUCCCCCAUUUAACUUGUGUUAAAUUAUGCCAAUAGGAUUUCAUUUAACUCUUGGUUGUUAUGCUUGGAAUAUAUUCUAGCAUUUGACUCUGUUGUUGUGUUAAAUCCUCUGAGCCCUUAAGUAGAAACCUGGGAAGGCCAACCUUGUAUCCUAUUUUUUUAACAUAUUAAACUUGUUCUCUAUUUUUCUGACAUCUUCUUGACUUUGCUAUUAUAUUUGGUUAGAUUAGAUGUAGGUAUUUUAUACAAAUCAAAAUGUUUGAUUCUUCAAAAUACAGUAGCAAGGGUCAAAGAGAUGAUGUGGAUAGUAGGAUUUGCUGGGUUUUAUGUAUUUCAGCUAUUCUUAGCUCAUAUCCUUCUUUGACAAGUCAGUUACAUAAGAACAAUCAAUGUGAAAAUGUUAGUAAAUUUCAGAAAUUAACGAAUAAUCUGUAGACUAUAUCAGUUGUUGUAUAUUUACCAUGCAAAGACCAUUGACUGCAAUGAUUAAACGUCAAGAAGAAAAAGACAAUUACUAGCUAGGAAACUUGAAAACUAAUUGCAAUUUAAAACAAAGGGUCUUUAUAACUGUCUCUCCAAAAUAGAAACUAAAACUUCAAUUCAUGAAAGAAUUUACUUUGUUUAAGGCUAUUCUUAGUCUUAUUUAUGUUAAGAAAAUCUGAAGAGUAGAUAAAGAAAGCAGAAGAGGAGAUUAGAAUGGAGAAAGUAAGAGAAACAGAAACAGAAAAAGAGUCAAACAUCAACAACUUGAAUAAUUCUCUCCAAAUUAAAAACAUUAUUAUAAAAAAGGUUUAUAUUCCUUGUUAUUCAAAUUUAAAUUAUAAUAAUAUGUUUAAAAAAAUAAUUACCAGUUCAAUUAUUAUAUGCAUCUAAGAUUAAUUUGAUUAAGGCUAUUUUACUUUGUUUUUCCUUUUCUUCUAUUAAAUGAAAAUAUUCAUAAGCAUAGACUGAUGGAUACAUCUAAAUAUAACAAUAUUAAUUCUAGAUGGAACAUUCUUUGGUGUCAAUUAUAAAAACAAAAUGCUUAACUUAUAUAAUUAAGGGUUGAUUUGCAGGAUGAAGCUAUAAAUUUAACUUAGAAAAGGUUAAUUACCAUUGUAGUUUUUUUAGUAAAGAAAUAAGGAUCCAAAGUUAUCUCUGAAAGUUUCAUAGAAUAAAGUAUUUGACAUACGAAUGUGCAAUGGAUUUUGAUUUGUUCCUUCCCCAAGUUGAGAUGGAUCUAUAAUGGUGAGGUAGCCAACUAUUAUUUUAAUUCUUUUUUUUUCUCAUUUUUUUAGUAGUUGCAACUAAUUGCAGAUCAGAAAUUCAUUUAAAGUUUAAUGCAAUGAUGAAUUUUUUUUUUGCCUUUAAUCCAUGUCAGAUAAAAUAUACUUAUGUGACAUUUGAUUUUCUUGAUUACUUUACUGGCUGAAACGAACAUGUUCAUAUACACAAUAGAUGAAUAAUUCGGCGGUUGAAGUUAGUGGUGAAAAAGUCAAAGCAUAGUGGGAUAAGAGAUUGACAGAAAUAUUUUAUGAUAUUUAUAUUAAAGAGAUAUUGAAAGGCAAUAGGCCUGGUACUCAUUUCACAAAAGAUAGAUGGUUGUAUAUAAUGACCAAUUUCGAGAAAGAAACAUGCAAGGCUUAUUCACAAAGACAACUUAAAAAUAGAUGGGAUGUCUUGAAGAAAGAAUGGAAGGCUUGGAAGAAACUUAAAGAUGGAGAUACUGGUCUAGGAUGGGAUCCUAUAAAAAGAACUGUUGAUGCAUCAGAUGAUUGGUAGGAGAGUAGGCUAAAGGUGAUGAGUGUGGUUGACAAUUUCAGCGGUGAUAAAAGUGAUGAUGAAAGGGAAAAUAAAGAGAUAUUACAACGCAUGAAAUGUUUUAACCGAUUAUUAGUUGUUACAUCUUCUUCUGUGCAAUUAUAUUAUGAGAAGUAUAUAUUGAAGCAACCAUGCAUGGAUUCAAAACAGUCAGGUAAAGGAUGGAUCCAAGAGAUCUUUAAUGGUCAUGAAUCACAUUGUAUGAUUAAUUUUAGGAUGUCUAAAAUUGUAUUCACAAGUUUGUUGGUAGUUUCGAAGACAAUAUAAACUUGUAAACUUUAAGACGCAUAUCUUCUCAUGAAAUGUUGGGAAUUUUUUUGUA